rnacentral:rRNA from 1 species
AUUGAACGCGGGCGGCAGGCCUAACACAUGCAAGUCGUGCGAGCGGCGGACGGAGGAGUAAUGUAUGGGGGUCUUCCUGAUGGAGUGGGAUAACUAUUGGAAACGGUAGCUAAUAUCUAAUACCAACAGCUGCACCCGUAUGGGAUUAGGUUGUAGGUGAGUGAACGGCUCACCUAGGCGAAGAGCCCUAGCUGGUCUGAGAGGAUGAUCAGCUACACUUGGACUGAGACACGGCCCAGACUCCUACGGGAGGCAGCAGUGGGGAAUAGUGCACAAUGGGCGCAAGCCGGAUGCAGCCAUGCCGCGUGUAUGAAGAAGGCCUUCGGGUUGUAAAGUACUUUCAGUCGGGAGGCGUUACCGACAGAAGAAGCACCGGCUAACUCCGUGCCAGCAGCCGCGGUAAUAC